GAUGAACGCUGGCGGCGUGCCUAAUAAAUGAAAGUAGAGCGAAAAGAGGAGGAGCUUGUUGAUAUGAAGUUAGCGGUGGAUGGGUGAGUAAAACGUGGAUAAUAUAUCUAUAAGACUGGGAUAACUUCGGGAAACCGGAGCUAAUACCGGAUAAUAUAUUGAACCGCAUGGUUCAAUAGUGAAAGACGGUUUUGCUGUCACUUAUAGAUGGAUCCGCGCCGCAUUAGCUAGUUGGUAAGGUAACGGCUUACCAAGGCAACGAUGCGUAGCCGACCUGAGAGGGUGAUCGGCCACACUGGAACUGAGACACGGUCCAGACUCCUACGGGAGGCAGCAGUAGGGAAUCUUCCGCAAUGGGCGAAAGCCUGACGGAGCAACGCCGCGUGAGUGAUGAAGGUCUUCGGAUCGUAAAACUCUGUUAUUAGGGAAGAACAAAUGUGUAAGUAACUAUGCACGUCUUGACGGUACCUAAUCAGAAAGCCACGGCUAACUACGUG
rnacentral:rRNA from 1 species